rnacentral:rRNA from 1 species
AACGAACGCUGGCGGCAUGCCUAACACAUGCAAGUCGAACGAGACCUUCGGGUCUAGUGGCGCACGGGUGCGUAACGCGUGGGAACUUGCCCUUAGGUUAGGAAUAACUCCCCGAAAGGGGUGCUAAUACCGGAUAAUGUCUUCGGACCAAAGAUUUAUCGCCUUUGGAUGGGCCCGCGUUGGAUUGGCUAGUUGGUAGGGUAAAAGCCUACCAAGGCGACGAUCCAUAGCUGGUCUGAGAGGAUGAUCAGCCACACUGGGACUGAGACACGGCCCAGACUCCUACGGGAGGCAGCAGUAGAGAGUAUUGGGCAAUGGGCGAAGGCCUAAUCCAGCAAUGCCGCGUGAGUGAUGAAGGCCUUAGGGUUGUAAAUCUCUUUUACCCGGGAUGAUAAUGACAGUACCGGGAGAAUAAGCUCCGGCUAACUCCGUG